UGCGUAGGUGGUUUCUUAAGUCAGGAGUGAAAGGCUACGGCUCAACCGUAGUAAGCUCUUGAAACUGGGAAACUUGAGUGCAGGAGAGGAAAGUGGAAUUCCUAGUGUAGCGGUGAAAUGCGUAGAUAUUAGGAGGAACACCAGUAGCGAAGGCGGCUUUCUGGACUGUAACUGACACUGAGGCACGAAAGCGUGGGGAGGCAAAACA
rnacentral:rRNA from 1 species